rnacentral:rRNA from 1 species
UACAGAGGUCUCAAGCGUUGUUCGGAUUCAUUGGGCGUAAAGGGUGCGUAGGUGGCGCUGUAAGUCGGGUGUGAAAUUUCGGAGCUUAACUCCGAAACUGCAUUCGAUACUGCGGUGCUUGAGGACUGGAGAGGAGACUGGAAUUCAUGGUGUAGCAGUGAAAUGCGUAGAGAUCAUGAGGAAGACCAGUGGCGAAGGCGGGUCUCUGGACAGUUCCUGACACUGAGGAGCGAAAGUGUGGGGAGCGAACAGG